rnacentral:rRNA from 1 species
CCUACGGGAGACAGCAGUGAGGAAUAUUGGUCAAUGGGCGGGAGCCUGAACCAGCCAAGCCGCGUGAGGGAAGAAGGUACAGCGUAUCGUAAACCUCUUUUGUCAGGGAACAAAGGCGGGGACUAGUCCCCGGAUGAGGGUACCUGAUGAAAAAGCAUCGGCUAACUCCGUGCCAGCAGCCGCGGUAAUACGGAGGAUGCGAGCGUUAUCCGGAUUUAUUGGGGUUAAAGGGUGCGCAGGUGGCCUGUUAAGUCAGCGGUGAAAGCCCGGGGCUCAACCCCGGGAAGGCCGUGGAAACUGGCGGGCUGGAGUUGGAGAGAGGUACGCGGAAUGCGUGGUGUAGCGGUGAAAUGCUUAGAUAUCGCGAAGAACCCCGAUUGCGAAGGCAGCGUACUG